CAUCGAGUAUCGGUGGUGAUCUGGUAAGUGCUUCGCUUAUGAGAUCACGCCUAUAUUCGCUUUC
rfam:Ancylostoma duodenale strain Zhejiang A_duodenale-1.0_Cont3589.1, whole genome shotgun sequence.